AGUAGAAUUGCUGGGUUAUAUGUUUAACUUUUUGAGGAACUGCCAAGCUGUUUUCUGAAGGGGCUGCACCAUUUUACAUUCCUAUCAGCAAU
rnacentral:pre_miRNA from 1 species